rnacentral:rRNA from 1 species
GCUUUAUUAAAGAAUAAUUUAUAUCUUUAGAUGAUGUUAAAUUUGAAUAUUUUUUUAAUUAUAUUGGGGUGAUAAGAAAAUAAGAAAACUUUUCUUUUUUUUACAAAAAUUUGUGGAUGCAUGAUCCCCUUUUAGGGAUUAUAAGAUUAAGU